GGUACUUCUUUUGCAGCCCCUGGUAUAUACUCCUCCACAGAAAUGCUUGACUUUGGUACGCUGCGGUCACAAGAUCGUCCAAAACUGCUGAAUUUACACCUUUUAAAUUCAGGAACAAAAGACGUUCCAAUCACAAGUGUUCGGACGACGCCAUCAAACGAAGCGGUGACGGUAGAGUUCAAAGCAGUCACACUGAAGGCUGGAGAGAGCAGAUAUACCAAAGUUGCUAGUAUUAGUUUUGACGGUAAGAAUAUUUAUGACCCGCUCU